GCAAGAAUAAGAGAAGCUGAAGGAAGAUCCAGCGGAAGAUGGAGUAGUUGCAAACCUGGGCACUGACUCAUAUCAGUGAGAUGGGAAAACUGAGAUACAUGUGGAUUAAACAACUUACUCAAAGUCAUGCUCCCAGCUUCUGUACCUGCGGUGGCCCCCUCCACCCGCCUAGUGAACGCCUAUGUCUACAUUGAGAUUCAACUUGCUUCAUGUCUACAAAACUUUUAGACAUCAU